UACGAAGGGGGCUAGCGUUGUUCGGAAUCACUGGGCGUAAAGCGCACGCAGGCGGAUUGAUAAGUCGGGGGUGAAAUCCCUCGGCUUAACCGGGGAACUGCGUCUGAUACUGGAUGGCUUGAGUUCGGGAGAGGGAUGCGGAAUUCCAGGUGUAGCGGUGAAAUGCGUAGAUAUCUGGAGGAACACCGGUGGCGAAGGCGGCAUCCUGGACCGAUACUGACGCUGAGGAGCGAAAGCCAGGGGAGCAAACGGG
rnacentral:rRNA from 1 species